rnacentral:rRNA from 1 species
GGUGGCGAUGUAAGUCUGCUGUUAGAGUCUAGCUCAACUAGAUAAGAGCAGUGGAAACUACAUAGCUAGAGUACGUUCGGGGCAGAGGGAAUUCCUGGUGUAGCGGUGAAAUGCGUAGAGAUCAGGAAGAACACCAGUGGCGAAGGCGCUCUGCUAGGCCGUAACUGACACUGAGGGACGAAAGCUAGGGGAGCGAAUGGGAUUAGAUACCCCAGUAGUCCUAGCCGUAAACGAUGGAUACUAGGCGUGGCUUGUAUCGACCCGAGCCGUGCCGUAGCUAACGCGUUAAGUAUCCCGCCUGGGAGUACGCCGGCAACGGUGAAACUCAAGGAAUUGACGGGGGCCCGCACAAGCGGUGGAGUAUGUGGUUUAAUUCGAUGCAACGCGAAGAACCUUACCAAGGCUUGACAUGUCGCGAAUCUUCUUGAAAGGGAAGAGUGCCUUCGGGAGCGCGAACACAGGUGGUGCAUGGCUGUCGCCAGCUCGUGUCGUGAGAUGUUGGGUUAAGUCCCGCAACGAGCGCAACCCUCGUUUUUAGUUGCCAGCAUUAAGUUGGGCACUCUAGAGAGACUGCCGGUGACAAACCGGAGGACGGUGGGGAUGACGUCAAGUCAGCAUGCCCCUUACGCCUUGGGCUAC